UACGUAGGGUGCGAGCGUUGUCCGGAAUUAUUGGGCGUAAAGAGCUUGUAGGCGGUCUGUCGCGUCUGCUGUGAAAAUCCGGGGCUCAACCCCGGACUUGCAGUGGGUACGGGCAGACUAGAGUGUGGUAGGGGAGACUGGAAUUCCUGGUGUAGCGGUGAAAUGCGCAGAUAUCAGGAGGAACACCAAUGGCGAAGGCAGCUCGCUGGGACGGUACUGACGCUGAGGCGCGAAAGCGUGGGUAGCAAACAGG
rnacentral:rRNA from 1 species